AAGUCGUAACAAGGUUUCCGUAGGUGAACCUGCGGAAGGAUCAUUAACACGUAUCCAACGUUAAACAACCCUGUGAACUUUCAGCGCUCUUGUAACCCAGGCGGAACAGCAAUCCCGGUAGAUCAAUGGCGGAACAGUUUUGAUUCGGGACCUCUGUCCAAAAGGUAUCAAGUUACAAUCGAGCUAGGAGCAGUGGCAUGGUUUCCCUAAGCAGCAAACAUGUCACAGGGCUAUAUGCCCCUUCAUUCACACCUUGCCUAAUCAUGCCCCGCGGAAACGCCGGGCACAAAAACUGAACAACUGUUAACAAUGGAUAUCUUGGUUCUC
rnacentral:misc_RNA from 1 species